rnacentral:rRNA from 1 species
UACGUAGGGUGCAAGCGUUAUCCGGAAUUAUUGGGCGUAAAGAGCUCGUAGGCGGUUUGUCGCGUCUGCCGUGAAAGUCCGGGGCUUAACCCCGGAUCUGCGGUGGGUACGGGCAGACUAGAGUGCAGUAGGGGAGACUGGAAUUCCUGGUGUAGCGGUGAAAUGCGCAGAUAUCAGGAGGAACACCGAUGGCGAAGGCAGGUCUCUGGGCUGUAACUGACGCUGAGGAGCGAAAGCAUGGGGAGCGAACAGG